CAUCGAUUUCCAGAGUUGAGCAAAUACCGGUAUGGUAUAACUAUAGCAAAUGUCUCUUCUGAUGGUAUUACACUGUACCAUAUUGUCCUUGUCAGGUGUUCAUGUUAUCAAUUGCUCUUUCUUAUACUCUUAUUCUCCCUCUAUCUCUGUCAUCCUCAGAAUCUCAGUCUCGCUCUAGAUGGUCCACACCAGAUCCCACAAAAAAAAGUCAGAGAGAGUACCAUGGCGACCGGCCAUCCACUGACCAGGAGGGAGAAACAGGAGCUCCACAACACCCCUUCUACACAAACCUAUGUCAAGGCCAGAAAUAGCAGGGAGAUGUCAAGUACUCAUUUAGCCAUAAUGCUUAGGUACAAAUACUGAAUUAGUUAUUUUUUUAAAUGUAUGCUGAAAGUUUGUCCUUUCUGCUACAUUACUCUCGUUAAUAUACAGUCUACACUUUACUACAUUCAAAAAAAUCACACCAAUUCCAGAACUUUCUGUACUUUUCAGUUUCUGAACCUUAUGAGGAUGUAUGUGGAGGCUGGUGCCAUAGUAGUUCUAUGUAGGUACAGGAGAACCUCCCACCCCUGGAGAGACACUACUUUAUGCAGAUGAGGGACAGGGACAUAUGAAAGGCCAUGAACGCCAUAUUAGGAACAAAACACAACACGAAGGUCAGAGUGAAAGAAAAAGGGUAUCAUGAAACAUAAAAAAGAAAAGAAACGGUCCACUUCUUCCAAUCAGAUAUCCUCGAUGACUGUAUACCAGACCAAUGGAGGCCAGCGAUUCAAGAGUAGGUGCAGGGAGGAAGAACACGAGGAGGACCAAGAAGAACUCUCAACCAAUCAUGGGGAAAGCAGUUCUCUGUCCACCAAUCGGAAAGCAGAAUGGGUCCUCUUAACCAAUCAGUGGCGAGUGUUCAUACCUUUACGAGACCACGGAAUAGAGUCGUUGUGCCAUGAGGAAACCAUGAAUGUGGACAAUGAUUCAAUAGCUCAUGAUGCAGGAACUGAUUCCAAUGGCGACACAUUUUAUGUCAGUGAAAGUUUAGAGAAUAUGUUGGAAAAUCAUACCCUCUUCUAUAGAAUCACAAGUGACAUCAAUCUAUUAGACACAGACAUUACAAUGACUGAUGGACAAUCAGUAUUCAUUCAGGGAGAGAAGAUGGAGGGGUAACCAGUGAGAUUUCAAGAGCAGAUGAAGUGACCUAUAGUGUGGUAAGACCAACAUAUCAACAAAUUGAAGGUUGCCACCAUUCAGAAUCCUCCACAAGUCAUGGUACAGCCACAGACGAUAGUGGAGACAUCGCUACAACCAAUGAGCAGCAAGACUCAACAUCUAUGGACCUGAACGCACAACUAACACUAUCUGGUAAUCAAACGUCAUGUGCAUCAACCAAACCAGUACAUGACCUAUGCAUCUAUGAAGAGAUACCGGACAAUGACGCCUUGUCCAAAGCA
ensembl:lncRNA